rnacentral:rRNA from 1 species
AUUGAACGCUGGCGGCAGGCCUAACACAUGCAAGUCGAACGAGUGGCGGACGGGUGAGUAAUGUCUGGGAAACUGCCUGAUGGAGGGGGAUAACUACUGGAAACGGUAGCUAAUACCGCAUACCAUCGGAUGUGCCCAGAUGGGAUUAGCUUGUAGGUGGGGUAAAGGUUCACCUAGGCAACGAUCCCUAGCUGGUCUGAGCGGAUGACAAGCCCCACCGUAACUGAGACACGGUCCAGACUACUAUGGGAGGCAGCAGUGGGGAAUAUUGCACAAUGGGCGCAGGGCUGAUGCAGCCAUGCCGCGUGUAUGAAGAAGGCCUUCGGGUUGUAGAGUACUUUCAGCGGGGAGGCGUUACCCGAAGAAGAAGCACCGGCUAACUCCGUGCCAGCAGCCGCGGUAAUUC